GGGCGGUUGGCUCAGCGGUAGAGCGCCUCGUUCACACCGAGGAGGUCACUGGUUCGAACCCAGUACCGCCCA
rnacentral:tRNA from 1 species